rnacentral:lncRNA from 1 species
GAAACAGCUUGUGUCGCCUUUUGUAUCUGAGCAACAACUCUCCAAUCUUCUAAAUCCACAGUGGACAUGGAAUCUCAGCGUGAGUUCCUGUGGAUUGCACAACAAACUACCAACCAGAAGCAUUUGCUCAUGACACGAGAGGCCAGAAGUCAAAAGUCAAAGCGCUGCUCAGCUGGGUUCCUCAGAAUCCCCAGGAGGAGGAUUGCUUUCCCUACCUCCCUGCUAGCCCCAGACAGUGCAAAUAAACCAGGAUUACACUGAA